rnacentral:tRNA from 1 species
UAUUUAACCUUCGAUAGCUCAGUUGGUAGAGCGGAGGACUGUAGAUCCUUAGGUCGCUGGUUCAACUCUGGCUCGAAUAA